rnacentral:rRNA from 1 species
UACGUAGGGUGCGAGCGUUAAUCGGAAUUACUGGGCGUAAAGCGUGCGCAGGCGGUUUUCCAAGACAGAUGUGAAAUCCCCGGGCUUAACCUGGGAAUGGCAUUUGUGAUUGGAAGGCUAGAGUGUGUCAGAGGGGGGUAGAAUUCCACGUGUAGCAGUGAAAUGCGUAGAGAUGUGGAGGAAUACCGAUGGCGAAGGCAGCCCCCUGGGAUGACACUGACGCUCAUGCACGAAAGCGUGGGGAGCAAACAGG